GACGGGGGGGCAAGUGUUCUUCGGAAUGACUGGGCGUAAAGGGCACGUAGGCGUGAAUCGGGUUGAAAGUGAAAGUCGCCAAAAAAGUGGCGGAAUGCUCUCGAAACCAAUUCACUUGAGUGAGACAGAGGAGAGUGGAAUUUCGUGUGUAGGGGUGAAAUCCGUAGAUCUACGAAGGAACGCCAAAAGCGAAGGCAGCUCUCUGGGUCCCUACCGACGCUGGGGUGCGAAAGCAUGGGGAGCGAACAGG
rnacentral:rRNA from 1 species